AGAGUUUGAUCCUGGCUCAGGACGAACGCUGGCGGCGCGCCUAACACAUGCAAGUCGAACGAGCGAGAGAGAGCUUGCUUUCUCGAGCGAGUGGCGAACGGGUGAGUAACGCGUGAGGAACCUGCCUCAAAGAGGGGGACAACAGUUGGAAACGACUGCUAAUACCGCAUAAGCCCACAGCUCGGCAUCGAGCAGAGGGAAAAGGAGUGAUCCGCUUUGAGAUGGCCUCGCGUCCGAUUAGCUAGUUGGUGAGGUAACGGCCCACCAAGGCGACGAUCGGUAGCCGGACUGAGAGGUUGAACGGCCACAUUGGGACUGAGACACGGCCCAGACUCCUACGGGAGGCAGCAGUGGGGAAUAUUGCACAAUGGGGGAAACCCUGAUGCAGCGACGCCGCGUGGAGGAAGAAGGUCUUCGGAUUGUAAACUCCUGUUGUUGAGGAAGAUAAUGACGGUACUCAACAAGGAAGUGACGGCUAACUACGUGCCAGCAGCCGCGGUAAAACGUAGGUCACAAGCGUUGUCCGGAAUUACUGGGUGUAAAGGGAGCGCAGGCGGGAAGACAAGUUGGAAGUGAAAUCCAUGGGCUCAACCCAUGAACUGCUUUCAAAACUGUUUUUCUUGAGUAGUGCAGAGGUAGGCGGAAUUCCCGGUGUAGCGGUGGAAUGCGUAGAUAUCGGGAGGAACACCAGUGGCGAAGGCGACCUACUGGGCACCAACUGACGCUGAGGCUCGAAAGCAUGGGUAGCAAACAGGAUUAGAUACCCUGGUAGUCCAUGCCGUAAACGAUGAUUACUAGGUGUUGGAGGAUUGACCCCUUCAGUGCCGCAGUUAACACAAUAAGUAAUCCACCUGGGGAGUACGACCGCAAGGUUGAAACUCAAAGGAAUUGACGGGGGCCCGCACAA
rnacentral:rRNA from 1 species